UGGUGGAGUGAUUUGUCUGCUUAAUUGCGAUAACGAACGAGACCUUAACCUGCUAAAUAGCCCGGCUCGCUUUGGCGGGUCGCCGGCUUCUUAGAGGGACUAUCGGCUCAAGCCGAUGGAAGUUUGAGGCAAUAACA
rnacentral:rRNA from 1 species